GAUCAAACUCAAAGGAAUUGAUGGGGGCCCGCACAAGCGGUGGAGCAUGUGGUUCAAUUCGAUGCAAAGUGAAGAACCUUACCAUGGCUUGACAUGCCGUGAAUCCUCCCGAAAGAGAGGAGUGCCUUCGGGAACGCGGACACAGGUGGUGCAUGGCUAUUGGCAGCUCAUGCUGUAAGGUGUUGGGUUAAGUCCCACAAUGAGUGAAACCCUCAUGUUUAGUUGCCAGCAUUGAGUUUGGAACCCUAAACAGAUUGUCGGUGAUAAGACGGAGGAAGGUGAGGAUGACAUCAAGUCAUCAUGCCCCUUACGCCCUGGGCAACACACAUGCUACAAUGACCGGGACAAAGGGUCACAACCCUGUGAGGGAAAGAUAACCUCAAAAACCUAGCCUCAGUUUGGAUUGCAGGCUGCAACUCGCCUGCAUGAAGCCGGAAUCGCUAGUAAUCGCCAGUCGGCCAUACGGCGGUGAAUUUGUUCCCGGGCCUUGUACACACCGCCCGUCACACUAUGGGAGCUGGCCAUGCCCCAAGUCAUUACCUUAACCACAAGGAGGGGGAUGUCGAAGGAUGGGAUAGUGACUAGAGUGAAGUCGUAACAAGGUAGCUGUACUGGAAGGUGCGGCUUGAUCACCUCCUUU
rnacentral:ncRNA from 1 species